rnacentral:rRNA from 1 species
GCCAGUGGUGAACUCCACAUACGCAUCCUUUGCUGAGGAUACGGUUAACGGAGCGAAAGCGACGUUCAACCUCAAAAGAAGCAGAGGGGGCUUAGUGGUGGGGUGACUGCGUACCUUUUGUAUAAUGGGUCAGCGACUUAUAUUCUGUAGCAAGGUUAACCGAAUAGGGGAGCCGGAGGGAAACCGAGUCUUAACCGGGCGUUAAGUUGCAGGGUAUAGACCCGAAACCCGGUGAUCUAGCCAUGGGCAGGUUGAAGGUUGGGUAACACUAACUGGAGGACCGAACCGACUAAUGUUGAAAAAUUAGCGGAUGACCUGUGGCUGGGGGUGAAAGGCCAAUCAAACCGGGAGAUAGCUGGUUCUCCCCGAAAGCUAUUUAGGUAGCGCCUCGUGAAUUCAUCUCCGGGGGUAGAGCACUGUUUCGGCUAGGGGGCCAUCCCGGCUUACCAACCCGAUGCAAACUGCGAAUACCGGAGAAUGUUAUCACGGGAGACACACGGCGGGUGCUAACGUCCGUCGUGAAGAGGGAAACAACCCAGACCGCCAGCUAAGGUCCCAAAGUCAUGGUUAAGUGGGAAACGAUGUGGGAAGGCCCAGACAGCCAGGAUGUUGGCUUAGAAGCAGCCAUCAUUUAAAGAAAGCGUAAUAGCUCACUGGUCGAGUCGGCCUGCGCGGAAGAUGUAACGGGGCUAAACCAUG